rnacentral:rRNA from 1 species
UACAGAGGUCUCGAGCGUUAGGCGGAAUCACUGGGCUUAAAGCGUGUGUAGGUGGAUCGUUAAGUACCUUGUGAAAUCCCACGGCUUAACCGUGGAACUGCUUGGUAUACUGGCGGUCUUGAGCCAGCUAGGGGCUACCGGAACAAGCGGUGGAGCGGUGAAAUGCGUAGAUAUCGCUUGGAACGCCGAAGGUGAAAACAGACUGCUGGGGUUGCGCCGACGCUGAGACACGAAAGCCAGGGGAGCAAACGGG